rnacentral:rRNA from 1 species
GUGGGGAAUAUUGGACAAUGGGCGAAAGCCUGAUCCAGCCAUGCCGCGUGAGUGAUGAAGGCCUUAGGGUUGUAAAGCUCUUUCAGUGGGGACGAUAAUGACGGUACCCACAGAAGAAGCCCCGGCUAACUUCGUGCCAGCAGCCGCGGUAAUACGAAGGGGGCUAGCGUUGUUCGGAUUUACUGGGCGUAAAGCGCACGUAGGCGGAUCGUUAAGUCAGGGGUGAAAUCCUGGAGCUCAACUCCAGAACUGCCUUUGAUACUGGCGAUCUAGAGUCCGGAAGAGGUGAGUGGAACUCCUAGUGUAGAGGUGGAAUUCGUAGAUAGUAGGAAGAACACCAGUGGCGAAGGCGGCUCACUGGUCCGGUACUGACGCUGAGGUGCGAAAGCGUGGGGAGCAAACAGGAUUAGAUACCCGAGUAGUCC